rnacentral:ncRNA from 1 species
UCAUCCAGAGCAGUUGAGGGACCGGCCCUAUGACGCUGCGGCAACCGACUUUAUAGUACGGUGCCAAUUCCGGCAGGAUUUUUCCUGACAGAUGAG